UAGAUAUGUAAUAUCAUGCAUUGGUUGUUUGGAAAAUAAUGAUUCACUGACUCAUGCAGAUCUUCCAAAAGCCACGAGGAAUAGAAGAGAAUGAAAUUGGGAUCAGACCUGUUGUGCUGGACCAUGACAGGGAUGGAGAGGAAAGCAAAGGCAUAGUGUUUAUAAGGGAGGCAGGGUCUGACGCAGUGAUGCCAUGCUGCAUGAAGUGAUAGAGCCGAGUGACAUUGAUAAGGCAAACUGGUCGGAGUGCCACAUGGGAUGAGGAGGCCUUUUCCACUCUGUGGUGUCAAUAAACGUUUAUGAUAACACUUUAAAAUCAUGUGGAACCAAUGCCAAAAGAAUAAUAUGAACACCUCUGAAUGAAA